rnacentral:rRNA from 1 species
GAUGAAUGCUGGCGGCGUGCCUAACACAUGCAAGUCGAACGGAGACGGUAGCAAUACGGUCUCAGUGGCGAACGGGUGAGUAACGCGUUGGUGACCUGCCCCGAAGUGUGGAAUAACAGAUCGAAAGAGCUGCUAAUACCGCAUAAUAUCCAGAGGAUUAGAUGCCUUUGGAUUAAAGGAUUUAUUCGCUUCGGGAGGGGCCUGCGUCCCAUCAGCUAGUUGGUAAGGUAAUGGCUUACCAAGGCGAUGACGGGUAGGGGACCUGAGAGGGUGGCCCCCCACAAUGGAACUGAAACACGGUCCAUACACCUACGGGUGGCAGCAGUAGGGAAUAUUAGUAAUGGGCGAAAGCCUGAACUAGCAACGCCGCGUGUGCGAAGAAGGCCUUCGGGUUGUAAAGCACUUUUUGAGAGGAUGAGGAAGGACGGUACUCUCAGAAUAAGUCUCGGCUAACUACGUG